rnacentral:lncRNA from 1 species
CCAAAAACAUCACGCUUACUGAAUAUCUAGGAAAGUAAAAGAACAACAACAACAACAUACCCAGUGUAUUCCCACUUCCCACAUAGUGGGGUCUGAGGAGGGUGGAGUGUACGCCGACCAUACCACUACCUCAAGUGAAGUAGAGAGGCUGUUUCCGAUAGACCCCCGGCUUAGGACCGAUAAUAGUAUAACAAACACAAAAGAUAAGUGCAUAUAAACUAGUACGCUAUGCAAAACAAACUAACAUUAUAACAAAAACAAAAGAUAAGUGCAUAUAAACUAGUACGGUAUGCAAAAUAAACUAACACUGCUAGCCACAAAUAAUACUACAGCCACAACACCACGAACAAGAAACUCCAGACACAAAAGAACGCUCCCCUACUAUUACCGACGCACUCCCACCCCCUAAUCCUCUACCCUAAUCCGCGUCCUCCGUACCUUCCUAUCAAGGGUCAUGUCCUCCGUAAGCUGUAACUGCUCCAUAUCAUGCCGUGACUCCGAUCAUUGUAAGGAUCACUCCCGGUAGGGCACUGCAUCUCCAAAUGCGUGAAAUAAUCCAAAAUCAUAGAGGAUUAUUCUAUCAUUCUGCCUAAAAAAAUAAUGUAAAUAGACAUGUUAAUCACAUAGAAAUACAUUUCUUUAAACUACGUAGAAUCGUUGUUUCUUCCAUAAGAAUUAUCUAGUCAUGUCCUCAUCAAACAUAAUGUUAGGGGGUCUAAGAUCGACCAGGCAACCCUUUGAUGUUUUGUGCACCAAAUGUAGCGCAUAAGCGAUUUCCUUUGCUACAUUUUUAACCUGGGUCCAAUUCAAAUUUUCCAUUCUACUUUCCAGGUCUCCACUUGAAAACCAUGAAAAACAGCUUUUCGUUGUUGAUUGAUACUUCACCCAUACCCACAAUUGUACUGAUAUUUUCAUAUGGCAUUGUGAUCAAAGCAGAUGCUUCACCCUGCACAAGAAAUAUCUUUAGCUAGUUUGAUAAUUCUAGUCAUUGAAAGAUACAACUAGUUGCUUAGAUGUAAACAAGCCAUUGGUUUACCAUGAGGGCAUUAAUAUGCGGAUUCACUGUUCGAUACUUUAAAGGCAUAAUCGCCACUGUCCAGCUCCCGAGGAUUUUCAUCCAAUAACAAAAUUUGGUAAACAGUUCCUUGUGCUCCAGAAGAUUGAGAUCUUGCUCCCUUCAAUGCAUCAUCUAACAAGACAAUAUUGUUCUGGAGUCUUGUAGUAUAAUCUCUUACUGUUCAAAACUUAGAGCUUUUUAGUCUUUAAGUAAAAAGCACCAAGGCAGUGCAAAAGCAUAAUUACAAAAAUGUGAAAAACCUGAAUGGUUCUCAUAUUUAGAAAGAACUUAUAUGUCAACUAAAGUUUUUGUAUUCUCUACGCAACUUCCGUUACACGGACCUCCGUCUCAAAUUACCUGUUGUGCUUCUUUUCACUCCCCUUACGAAAACAUUAAUAAAGGAGGGGUUUUUGACCAUUUUACCCUAAUUUUUGUCGUAAGAUCUCUCUUCAUCGGGGUCUAUCGGAAACAACCUCUCUACUUCACCUGAGGUAGUGGUAUGGUCUGCGUAUACUCUACCCUCCCCAAACCCCACUAGGUAGGAAUACCCUCCCCAAACCCCACUAGGUAGGAAUACACUGGGUAUGUUGUUGUUGUUGUUGAAGAUCUCUCUUCAUCAAAUAUUUACUCUAGUGAGGUGUUUGUAAUCUUCAACAACAAUUGCUACCAAGGAUAAAAUGGUAACUAAUUUUCUACUUGAACCUUUAAAAUGACAAAUAAUGUGUGCCGAAGGGAGCACAAUCCAUCUUAAAUUUUCGGAAAGAGUUGUAUUUUUCUCCAAAAGUUCAUGCGUUUCUCUCCUUCCAAAAUCAUAAACUCGGCAGCAUGCAGCAAAACCAGUGGGCUAAAAGCUGCCUAAUGUUAUGCAAUUGAUAUUGGAAUUUGUAAUACCAUUAGAAUUUUCUAGUAACCUCGCAAUGAAGUAUGGUGUUUUAGAUCAAGGAUACAUUUAUUUCGAUGUGGACAUUAGCUCUUUGUUCACAAUUGAGAUGAAACAUUCAAUUUUUAUUUCACACAUGUGAUUUGAGCAUCCAGGGUAGGUGACAAGAAACUGGUUGAUUCCUAAGUCUUGGUGCGCAGAGGUAUCACGUUUGUUGGUGGAGCUGCAGCACCUAGCGGUAUAAUCGAGGUGCUCACAAGUUGGCGUGGACACCGCAGUAAAGUAGAAAAAAAAUGAAAAUACUGUGCAUAGCAAUUUCUAACCAUACUAAAGUGACUUUGGGAAAAUUUAAAGAAGCAGCAAUAAAAGUAUACUGAUAGUUCGAUGGAUGUAUUUUCCUUUUCUCACACAGUUACAUUUAGUAAAUAUAUCUGGCAAUAAAAGUUACAGUUUAAGCUUUACAGAUUUUGUGACUAAGAAAAAAUUUGCCGAAGGAAAACAACAUGAAAUCAGUAGAUUGGUCAGGAAAUUGAAAAUCGAAAGUACACUCAGCAAGCCUAAGUAGAUACUUUAUCUUCCAAAUACAGAAAGGACCUCUGAACUUCUUUGAGAAAAUAUUUAGAAUUUUUUGCAUUUGAAGAUGAAGCAGAAUAAGUUGAAGAUGAUAAAAUCGAAGAACUCUUCAGUGAAAGUGACUUGCUUGUGCUAGCUUCUCUCUCCUCCUCUUUGAUGGUUUCUAGCCUCUUUGAGGCUCGGUGUCUCAUGACAUUUAUGAACUGUGGUGGUGCGACCUCUGUAACGAACCUAGCAAUGCGAGCAUUUGCCAUCGUCUUAGUAGGGUUUGGGAGAGACUGCAGUUGCAGGAAAGGACCAAGAUGCUUUGGUGGAACUGUAGAAGUAAUGUUUAAGAAGGUGGGUUGUAUGACUUAAAAACGACAAAAGGGAUGAAAUUUAUAGGGUUGUUGAUUAAAUUAUCCCUAUAUGGUAUGGCUUAAAUUAAAUCAGUGUCUUAAUCAAGGUUUUAAAUAUUUUUAGCUGUUAGUGCCGCCACUUACUUUUAGUCUUAAUUGAACAACAUGACUUAAAUAUGCUGUAUUUGUUACCAUUGAAAGCUUCCAAAUUUGAACUUUUCCUUGUUGAGCUGGAACCUGCUGAUUGAAUGCCACAUGCCCUUUCUGCAUUUACUGAUUCACAGCAUAUGAACAGUUAUUGUGAUUGGUUGUGUGCACGUAACGGACUUCCGACAUAGUGGGGUCUGAGGAGGGUGGAGUGUACGCCGACCAUACCACUACCUCAAGUGAAGUAGAGAGGCUGUUUCCGAUAGACCCCCGGCUUAGGACCGAUAAUAGUAUAACAAACACAAAAGAUAAGUGCAU